CAAAAGAUGCACAAGCAAUCGGACGCCUAGAGAAGUUGCACAAAGAAUUAGAUGUCUAUAGAGCGAAGGUUGUAAGAUUGUGGUUGUUCCAUCAAUAUUGUCAUCUUCUGAAAGCUCAAAACAUUGCGAAAGCUGCUUUUCGUAUUUGCUCUAGACUUUGGCUGUGCGUGGCGGUUGGUGUCGUUGCAGCUAUAAAAUCAAUGUCUUUGUGUGUUAGAGCUACAAUGAGUCGUUCUGUUUGUUGUGAGCUGGAAAAUCGGUGAAUGCAUAAUAUUGAUGAUGAGUGAGGCAGGUGCAAGUUCGUUUACGGCUCCUGCAAAGAAAAAGUUAAGGUUCGAUGUAGCGUCGAGGGUGUGGCCAUUGCAAGAAAAUGAAAUCUGAAUAUGAAGGAGGAGCAGCUACACUGAAACAAGACGAGGUUGAUGGUGGUCUGGCUGCUAUGUGUGUGUGUGUGUGUGUGUGUGUGUGUGAGAGAGAGAGAGAGAGAGAGAGCAGAUGGUAGAGCGUUGGUGAUGACAUUCGGGAUCUUGUAUUCCGUGAUGAGGGUUGAAGGUAUCCAACAAUCAAGUACUACAAUUAUGGCAAGAAGGGUGAGAGAUAUGCGGGUGGACGUGAGACUGACGAUUUCGUUCAGUUCAUGGAGAAUCCAGAUGAGCCACGGACUGCUCCACCACCUUCAUGAACCCGAGUGGAGUGAUGAGCCAAGUAGUGUGGAACAUCUAACCGAUGACUCAUUUGACAUGUUUGUUGAUCAACACGACUCGGCUGUGGACACUGCAAGGCGAUGAAGCUCGCGUAUGGUGAUGCGACCAAGCAUAUGCACGACUCUGGGGUUGGUGAUCUUGCGUGCUCAUUAGGCUGGAUAGAAAUGGAGGUGCAGAGAGACAGACAGACAGACAGUUGAGGGAGAUGCAGAGCUAUUGGUGCAGCAGGUGCAGCUUCUUUCGGAAAACAUGAAGACUGGAUUCUACUUAAAACUGAUGUGAAGAAUUCAUUUAAUUCAGUAAGCCGGUCUCAUUUGCUGAACCAAGUGCUUACUACGUUUCCUGAUAUUUACAAUCACGCUGCACUAGUGUACUCUGACAUCAAGCCACUAAUCUAUCUUCAGAGAUCUCAUCCGGUUAUUCUCAGCUCUCAAGAAGGUGUGCACUAGGGAUCGAGACCCACUUGGUCUUGCUUUGUUUUCAAUUGCAAUGCAAUUGAUUUUGGAAGAUCUACAGUCUCACAACAAAGAAGUAACAAUUCUGGCUUACCUGGAUGAUGUUUAUCUUCUUGGCAGUUUUGAUCGAGUGUUUCAUGUCUUUGCAAGGCUGAGAUCUGCUUUCAGCAACAUUAAUUUCAUGAUUGAGGAGAAGAAGUCAUCCUGGUAUAUUGGCUGCUGUUGACUGCACCAAACAAUGCAAACUGGCCGACAGGUUUGAGAUUAAGGGAUUCCCCACAGUGAAGUAUUUCAAGGAUGGGAAGUUUGCAUUUGACUACCCAGGCGGUCGUACCACAGAUGCACUCCUUGAAUUCAUGAACAAUCCUGUGGAGCUGACAGCAGCACCUCCAGAGCCAAAGUAGAGUGACCAGGAGAGUGGUGUGAAUCAUCUUACGGAUGAGAAGUUUGGUGGUUUUGUGGAGAAUCGAGAGCACGUGCUGGUCAUGUUUUAUGCUCCAUGGUGUGGUCAUUGCAAGAAUGCCAAACGUGAGUUUGAAUCUGCUGCUGAAACAUUGUCUGGCCACGACAAGCAAGCAUUAGCAGCAAUCGAUUGCACAGAAUUUUCUGAUGUUUGUACGCAGCAUGGAGUGAAAGGUUAUCCUACAUUUAAGUAUUUUCACAAUGGAAAGGAAAGUGAGAAAUAUGAAGGUGGACGUACUGCGGACAAUUUCUCCAAUUUUGUUUUGAGCAAAUGUGUGUCAGACAAGAAGGAUGAAUUGUAGUUUAUGUGUACGUACUGCUUGCUCAAUAACUUUUCUUCCUAUUCA